AGGAAAAUUUGCCAUGCCUGGGUCAUGUGGAAAUCUGAAGCAGGCUGCCCUCCUUUCCAUCUCUUCAGUGCUAAGCAAUGAUCUGCAUCCCUGAAGUUUGGAGAGGAAAUAUACAUAAAGCCUGUGGAACAUGUGUUCACACCUGUCCUUAGACAUGACAUGAGCAUUUACAGAUGAAAGGAUACAUCAGAAGACCACGAAGUUAUCAUGAUCAGUAAUGAGUAUAAAAGUCUACCUUGGGAGAUUGAUUUUUGGACUCUUCUUAUUCCAAAUAAUACAGAAAUGGCUUCUGAUCAGAUGCCCUUGCAAAUGGGGAGGAAGAAAUGUACAGGCAAGGAGAAUGGUGUGCAGAAAGGGAGAACAAUAGAAAGGUAUAGACAAAUUUCAAAACUAUUUAGAAAAUAGUUGUGAGCAAAGGGUACAUUUACUGAAAUUGGCCCAGCUACAGGAGAAGAAAACAAGGGCUGAAUUCAUCAGGACAUACUGAACAAAUGCUUUAGACACUAAGAAUUGGCCUAUGUCCUCCCCAAAACUCAAUAGUCUUCUACUUUGCUUUCAUCAGGGUUUGCUUAUGGUAUUUUAGUUUAGGUAUUGCAACUGUACCAGUGUGCAAUCUGUCUUCUGUUGCAUUGCUGUGUUACAAAGAUGAAGUACAAUGACACGGAAUAAACUCAUUGAUCUGUGAA